UACAGAGGUCCCGAGCGUUGUUCGGAUUCACUGGGCGUAAAGGGUGCGCAGGUGGCUUGGCAAGUUUGAUGUGAAAGCUCAGGGCUUAACCCUGAAAUGGCAUUGAAUACUGUUGAGCUGGAGGUUUGGAGGGGGGACUGGAAUUCUUGGUGUAGCAGUGAAAUGCGUAGAUAUCAAGAGGAACACCAGUGGCGAAGGCGAGUCCCUGGACAACACCUGACACUGACGCUCAUGCACGAAAGCGUGGGGAGCAAACAGG
rnacentral:rRNA from 1 species